GCCAGGUGCCGUGGCGCAUGCCUGUAAUCCUGCAGCUCAGGAGGCUGAGGCAGGAGGAUCACGAGUUCAAAGCUAGCCUCAGCAACAGCGAAGCACUAAGCAACUCAGUGAGAGAGACCCUGUCUCUA
rnacentral:sRNA from 1 species